UGAGGAACAUGACCUUCGGCGGGGGAUAGCCGGCCCAACGGCCGGGUAAUACCGCGUACGACCACUCGGGGACAUUCCUAGGUGGUGAAAGCAGCAAUGCGCCGAUGGAGUGCCUCGCGGCCUAUCAGCUAGUUGGUGAGGUAACGGCUCACCAAGGCAAAGACGGGUAGCUGGUCUGAGAGGAUGGCCAGCCACAUUGGGACUGAGACACGGCCCAGACUCCUACGGGAGCAG
rnacentral:rRNA from 1 species